CCUACGGGUGGCAGCAGUGGGGAAUAUUGUGCAAUGGGCGAAAGCCUGACGCAGCGACGCCGCGUGAGGGAUGAAGGUCUUCGGAUCGUAAACCUCUGUCAGCAGGGAAGAACGGUCACUGUGCUAAUCAGCAGUGAAUUGACGGUACCUGCAAAGGAAGCACCGGCUAACUCCGUGCCAGCAGCCGCGGUAAUACGGAGGGUGCGAGCGUUAAUCGGAAUUACUGGGCGGAAAGCGCUCGUAGGCGGUAUGUCAAGUCAAGGGUGAAAUCCCCGCGCUUAACGUGGGAACUGCCUUUGAAACUGGCAAACUGGGGGGUGUGAGAUGAUAAUGGAAUUCCAGGUGGAGGAGGGAAAUCCGUAGAUAUCUGGAGGAACAUCAGGGGCGAAGGCGACUAUCUGGCACAUAACUUACGCUGAGGAGCGAAAGCGUGGGUAGCAAACAGGAUUAGGUACCCCUGUAGUC
rnacentral:rRNA from 1 species